GCCUUCGUAGUGUAAUUGGUAGCAUGUCCGACUGGCAGUCGGAAAAUCCAGAGUUCGAAUCCUGGAGAAGGCG
rnacentral:tRNA from 1 species